GACGAACGCUGGCGGCGUGCUUAACACAUGCAAGUCGAACGAAGAGAGAUGGAAGCUUGCUCCUUGCAGUCUUAGGGGCGAAGGGGUGAGUAACGCGUAAACAACCUGUCCAUCAGAGGGGGACAAUAGGGGGAAACGACCGAUAAUACCGCAAACGAUCUAAUCGCGGGAUCGAGGAGAGAAGAAAGGUGGCGCCGACACGUAAGCAAUGACUGAAGCAGGGGAAUGCGGCUGCUUAGCUAGCUGGAGGGGUAACGGCCGACCAAGGCGAAGAUCAGUAGCCGGUCUGGGGGGAUGGACGGCCACAUUGGGACUGAGACACCGCCCCGGCUCCUACGGGAGGCAGCAGUGGGGGAUCUUCCGCAAUGGACGAAAGUCUGACGGGGCAACGCCGCGUGAGCGGUGGCAGCCUUCGGGUUGUAAAGCUCUGUUUAUCGGGACGAAAGGCCUUCUUGCGAAUAGUGAGACGGAUUGACGGUACCGAAAUAGAAAGCCACGGCUAACUACGUG
rnacentral:rRNA from 1 species